rnacentral:rRNA from 1 species
ACGCUACCUUGUUACGACUUCACCCCAGUUAUCGGUCCCACCUUCGACGGCUCCCUCCUUUCGGUUGGGUCACCGGCUUCGGGCGUUACUGACUCCCAUGGUGUGACGGGCGGUGUGUACAAGACCCGGGAACGUAUUCACCGCGACAUUCUGAUUCGCGAUUACUAGCGAUUCCAGCUUCAUGUAGUCGAGUUGCAGACUACAAUCCGAACUGAGACGUUAUUUUUGGGAUUCGCUUGCACUCACGUGUUCGCUUCCCUUUGUUUACGCCAUUGUAGCACGUGUGUAGCCCUGGUCAUAAGGGGCAUGAUGAUUUGACGUCAUCCCCACCUUCCUCCAGGUUGUCCCUGGCAGUCUCUCCAGAGUGCCCAUCCUUAAUGCUGGCUACUGAAGAUAAGGGUUGCGCUCGUUGCGGGACUUAACCCAACAUCUCACGACACGAGCUGACGACAACCAUGCACCACCUGUCUCCCCUGUCCCGAAGGAAAACUCCCAUUACGAAGCUGUCAGGGGGAUGUCAAGAUC